rnacentral:lncRNA from 1 species
UUUCUUUGAACUGCUUCUUUUCAUUAUUCCUGUUUAACUCCUAUUUGAAAAGUCAUUUCUUGCUUCACCUGAUUGCCUGAAUAACACUAAGCCAUUUUUGUUGUGAAUAUUUUGCAACAGGCAACUUUGAGCACCACAAGGUCUCUUGCCAUCUCAGCACUGAGGAAGAGGAAGCUGUCCUUUGCAGCAUCUGUUGCCUAGCAAUCUGUUUCUCAGGUGUCUUUAGCUGUACGGCAUUGUGAUCAAAGCUUCAAAGGGUUCACAAAAUAAAGGAGUUCAUUGGCCCAUCUUUCAGAAGCAUAACAGGAAAAUGCAGUAGAAAUACAGAUGAUUUCAACCUGCACUCAAAGUUACUGCACCACCAGAGGGUUAAGCAGAGCAGUACAGAGAUCACUAAGUUGCUGAAAACAGUAUGGGGAACAAGAGUGCUCUCCCUAAAUGUAUCAUGGAUGCUGGACUUUUUUUAUGCUGCAACUUUAUAUAUUAUUUAAACUGUUCAAUGGAGAAUAUAAAUCUUAGCGUCAGAGUAGGAAGAUGCUGGGAAGUUUGUGAUACAUCCAUGACAGACACAAGAAUGGGCUCCUGGUACUGCCGCAUGGACACUGAAACCAGGGAGGCUGCUUGGGCUGAGACAUGUUCUUCCUUUGGGAGGCUCAGCUGAGACUACAUGAUUUAUUUCUGCAAAACGGAAGCCUGCCUUUUUUUGAAAAAAAGUCUCCAGGCUUGAGGUAGGAUGAUUAAAUCAAAAGCUAAGCUCUCUUUGUACCCUGUCAAAAUCCUAGUACUGUGCACUACAAAAUGGCCCAGCUAUUUUACCUAAGAAGUAAAAGUAAACGUUUUUUCCUCGUGAAGCUUAAGACUUGACACACCAUGGAGCUGCAUUCACAGAGUAGUACUGCCAUAUAGCUACUUGCUGUUACCAUGCUUCAUGCAAUCACUUAUUACUUGUGCUGAAAAAGUGGGAGAAACUGAAAAGAAUUCACUCAGCCAGGUCAAAUCUUCUCAGCAAAGAAGGCAGAAAUGAAUUCUGCUGCCACAGGGGUGACAGUCUAGGC